UUGGACGACCAUGGCGGUUUGGUUCUACCCGUUCCCAUCCCGAACACGGAAGUCAAGCAAACCUACGUUCCAAGUUGUACUGCACUUUGCUGUGGGAACCUUGGUUAGUUGUCCGCC
rnacentral:rRNA from 1 species